CCCUCGCUGCCACCUCCCACACGCUGCUCCACCACUUCCUCCUCCGCACGCCGCCCUCCCCUGCCAAGCCUUCCACCCAUCUCUGUUAAGAUCUCUGUUAAAAUCUCUCCUCAAUCUUCCUAAUUCUCUCUUCACCUGCCACCAGCCGCCCGCCAUCCGCCGCCGCCGCCGAGACCUUGUCACCGGCCGCUGUUGUCCAGACCCUCGAAGGACUCCCCUGCAGUUGGUAAAUGUUUUUAUUUUAAAUCUAAUUACAAAAACUAAAAAUGGCCGACGAACAUGAGUCCAUCGGAAAGGGGGGAGGGACGGCGACUGCAGUUCUGACGCCGUGUCCGUCGGCGGUCCUAGGGCACACAUAUAUGGCAAACCUCUUCGGAUUUCAACACUUCACAAAAAAAAAUGGAGCCCUAAAUCGAGCCCUAGUCUCCCACCCCGUGCAAUCGAUGGAGGUCUAAGCAUCCACCCACGCCGCCGGAAGCCGCCGCCACCAACCCGCUGCAAGUGUCCGACAACGCCCCUGCUCCCGCUCCACCGCCGUCGCACCGGCACCUCUCUUUUAUCUCCGGGUUUAGUGUGUGUCUUCCUUACCCCCAGCCGAUUGCAGUUGCUUCACCAUUGCGCGGUUUGAUUUUUCUCCUUGCGUUAUAUGUCUCUAAAUGUGAGAUUGAGCUAUUGUGUGUUAGAUUUCUGAAAAUUUGCAGCUUUCUUUGUGUGUGUGGAUUAAUUUUAUUACUAUGUUGAUGAACUUGAAUUUAGUGUUAAUAAAUUUGAAAUUAGUGUUGUUGUUGAGGCUAUGUUAGAUUUCUAUGCUUUAGUCCAUUGUAAGAAGGAAUGCAACAAAGUUGUCCAUUGAUAGACUACCAUCUUAUGAGAUAAUGUGCUUAUGAAUAAGUAAUGUUUAGCGAUUUGGACUGAUUCUCGAUUGGUGAAUGCUAGUAGAUGAAGUUUUACUUAAGCUGCAUUGACUAUUAGCACGUCUGUUUAUUUGAGUGAUAUAUUGGUUAGCGCUUAAGAGAAAUUCGGUUGAAAUAUAAUUUUUGUUGCUUUUACUUGGGCACUGUUGAGAGAAAUUCGGUUGAAAUGUUGUUGACAAAGUCCCCAGGGAGCUCUGUUACUGUAUUGUACACUUAAGCUGAGGUUGCUGCUACUCUUUUAUUUCCAUUUAAGCUGAGGUUGCUGCUACUCUCUUAAAUUGCUCCCAGCUUGUGUUGAAAAUAUUUGUUUCUUCAAAUUUCAUUGUUAUUAUUGUUUCUUUGAAUAUGAUGAUAGUUGACAGUUGACAGUUUCACUCCGUCUCUUUGGAUUAAUAUGUUUAUGUUCAUGUUUAAUAGGUGGGAGAUGUUGUACUUGUUGAGGAUGAGAUUGUGAUGGAAGAUGAUAUUAAGUUGAUUGGACUGCAGGCAUUGGUAUGUGCUGUUGCUUAUGGUCCGCGGUGGAUUCAUAUUUAUGAAUCUGAGACAAUUUUCAUUCGCUCACAACUGAGAGAAGUUCCUCUAGAGAAUGUGUUGCUAAUAUGUGUUCUUUGAAUCAAUUCUGCUGAAUUCAUUUGCAACUGUGAGUUUUUAUAGACAAAAACACAAUCUUUAUUUGUUGUUUGGAUGCCCCUUAGCUGUCUUGUAUUUUCUAUGAUCCCCUACUGCAUUUUCACUAGUUUUUAUGUAGUUUAGGUUUGCAGUUUCAAGUUUUAACUUGCUAUCUGUUAACUUUAGUAAUAAAUUAUCUCUGCUAGGUAGGAUACACUGUUACAACUCGAAGACGUCAAACUAUUGGCAAGGUGCGUGGCUACACCUUUAGUAUCAGUUCAGGCACGUUGGAAUCACUUGAGCUCGACUCAUUUGGAAUUUCCAUUAUCCCCUCGAGUUUGGUAGGUUUAUUUUUGUAGGUUUAGAUGUAUGACUUUAGUUGCUUAUAUGUCUCAUUCCACGAAUCAUGUGUUGAUGGUUAAAGUUCCAUGUUCAUUUAGCAAACAAAGCAGGUUGUUGGAUUAAACCCUGUUAAAGAAACCUUUGCCUUUUCAAUCACAUGAUCUUCUAGGCAAAAAGAGGCAACAAUUUUUAUGUUGGAUGCUGAUUCAGAAGCAAGGGAAACCAGUUCUGAAUAAGCAGCAUUAAAAGUCCUUUUGCAGACUUGGCUUGCAAUAUAGCCCACCGAUAAAGUGGCAGGGCAUCACCUUGGCUUGCAAUUAAUGUUGUUCAUCUUAAUCAAUUAUGUAAAUUUUUGGUGCAGAACUAUUGGGAAAGAUUUUUGUCCAAUCGGGAUUCUUGGACAUUUGCAGGCUCUGCUAGCUGCUCUUGCUAUUAUGUCGGAUCUUAUGUUCGACUUCUUGGGAAGGUGCAGUAACGAAGCCCUCAAGGAAGAGAUGAAAGAGA